GAUACAACGGUGAAAGACCAACUCUGAAAUUAAACGUUUGUUGAGUCGUGACAAAGAAUUUCUUCUUUGGUCGUGAUAAAAGCGCUUUCUACAUCUCCCAGCGUACUUUGAGAGCAACUCCAGUCCGAUUGAUCAUUUUGGAAUGUCGUUCAAUAAAAGGGCUUGAUUGGAGGACGGCGUUUGUCCGUCAGACAAAGAGGGUGACUAGAACUGAAUUCUAUUGGCUCUGACGGUUCCAGACAACACCCGCUUGCGCAUGCGCAAAGUGGGUCUGUGUCGUCAUCGUCAGGCUAGCUUAACCUGGACCGGUUCGGAUUGAAUUUGGGGGUAACAGCUCAAACGAGAUUUGGAAGAACAUGACCUGAAAGUCUCCUUCAACGAACUAUGACAAAUAAAAUGAUGGCCAUAAUGAGCCUCAGAGGAAGAAGUGGGAAGGUUGCCUUCAUGAAGACUCAUCUCUACAAGAUAAUCUGUGGUGAGUUUGCUUUAACAUAUAAGUUUU